rnacentral:rRNA from 1 species
AGGAUCAUUAAAGAGUUCUAUAACUCCCAAACCCAUGUGAACAUACCUAACGUUGCCUCGGCAGGUCUCGCCUGCCGGUGGCCCACCAAACUCUGUUUGAUAUUGAAUUCUGAACAUGUAACUAAAUAAGUUAAAACUUUCAACAACGGAUCUCUUGGUUCUGGCAUCGAUGAAGAACGCAGCGAAAUGCGAUAAGUAAUGUGAAUUGCAGGAUUCAGUGAAUCAUCGAAUUUUUGAACGCAUAUUGCGCCCAUUAGUAUUCUAGUGGGAAGGACCGUUCGAGCGUCAUUUCGACCCUUAAGCCUUGGUUGCUUAGUGUUGGGAGCCUACGGUAACGUAGCUCCUCAAAGUUAGUGGCGGAGUUGGUUCACACUCUAGACGUAGUAAUUUCUUAUCUCGCCUAUCAGUUGGACUAAUCCCCUGCCGUAAAACCCCCAAUUUUUAAAGGUUGACCUCGAAUCGGUUCAGAUAAACUCGCUAAAUUGAAGCAUCUUAGUCAGCGAAGGAAAAGAAACCAACAGGGAUUGCCCUAGUAACGGCGAGUGAAGCGGCAACAGCUCAAAUUUGAAAUCUGGCCUCCGGGUCCGAGUUGUAAUUUGUAGAGGAUGCUUUUGGCGCGGUGCCUUCCGAGUUCCCUGGGACGGGACGCCUUAGAGGGUGAGAGCCCCGUACGGUUGGACACCAAGCCUCUGUAAAGCACCUUCGACGAGUCGAGUAGCUUGGGAAUGCUGCUCUAAAUGGGAGGUAAAUUUCUUCUAAAGCUAAAUAUUGGCCAGAGACCGAUAGCGCACAAGUAGAGUGAUCGAAAGAUGAAAAGCACUUUGAAAAGAGGGUUAAAUAGCACGUGAAAUUGUUGAAAGGGAAGCGUUUGCGACCAGACCUUUUCCUAGCGGAUCAUCCGGUGUUCUCACCGGUGCACUUCGCUAGGUUUAGGCCAGCAUCGGUUUCUGUAGGGGGAUAAAAGCUCUGGGAACGUAGCUCCUCCGGGAGAGUGAUAGCCCUCUGCAUAAUACCUUUACGGGGACCGAGGACCGCG